rnacentral:rRNA from 1 species
AUACGUAGGUGACAAGCGUUAUCCGGAUUUACUGGGCGUAAAGGGCGUGUAGGCGGUCUUGCAAGUCAGAAGUGAAAUUCCGGGGCUUAACUCCGGGCGUGCAGGCGAUACGGGCAUAACUUGAGUACUGUAGGGGAGACUGGAAUUCCUGGUGUAGCGGUGAAAUGCGCAGAUAUCAGGAGGAACACCGGUGGCGAAGGGGGGUCUGUGGUCAGUAACUGACGCUGAGGAGCGAAAGCAUGGGUAGCGAGCAGGAUGAGAUACCCUGGUAGUCCAUGCCGUAAACGGGGGGCGCUAGGUGUAGGGGUCUUCCACGACUUCUGUGCCGUAGCUAACGCAUUAAGCGCCCCGCCUGGGGAGUACGGCCGCAAGGCUAAAACUCAAAGGAAUUGACGGGG